GGGCCAUAGCUUUGAUGGCAGAGUAUCUGCUUUGCAUGCAGAAGGUCCUAGGUUCAAUCCCCAGCAUCUCCA